rnacentral:rRNA from 1 species
CCUACGGGAGGCAGCAGUGGGGAAGAUUGCACAAUGGGGGAAACCCUGAUGCAGCGACGCCGCGUGAGUGAAGAAGGAUGUCGGUAGGUAAAGCUCUAUCAGCAGGGAAGAAAAUGACGGUACCUGAUUAAGAAGCCCCGGCUAACUACGUGCCAGCAGCCGCGGUAAUACGUAGGGGGCAAGCGUUAUCCGGAUUUACUGGGUUUAAAGGGUGCGCAGGCGGCCUGUUAAGUCAGCGGUAAAAGCCCGGGGCUCAACCCCGGCGAGCCGUUGAAACUGGCGGGCUGGAGUUGGGGCGCGGUACGCGGAAUGCGCGGUGUAGCGGUGAAAUGCUUAGAUAUCGCGCAGAACCCCGAUUGCGAAGGCAGCGUACCGGCUCCACACUGACGCUGAGGCACGAAAGCGUGGGUAUCGAACAGGAUUAGAUACCCCAGUAGUC